CGUAUGCAACUUACCUAUCAGAGGGGGAUAACCCGGCGAAAGUCGGACUAAUACCGCAUGAAGCAGGGGCCCCGCAUGGGGAUAUUUGCUAAAGAUUCAUCGCUGAUAGAUAGGCAUGCGUUCCAUUAGGCAGUUGGCGGGGUAACGGCCCACCAAACCGACGAUGGAUAGGGGUUCUGAGAGGAAGGUCCCCCACAUUGGUAUUGAGACACGGACCAAACUCCUACGGGAGGCAGCAGUGAGGAAUAUUGGUCAAUGGGCGUAAGCCUGAACCAGCCAAGUCGCGUGAGGGAUGAAGGUUCUAUGGAUCGUAAACCUCUUUUAUAAGGGAAUAAAGUUCGGGACGUGUCCCGUUUUGUAUGUACCUUAUGAAUAAGGAUCGGCUAACUCCGUGCCAGCAGCCGCGGUAAUACGGAGGAUCCGAGCGUUAUCCGGAUUUAUUGGGUUUAAAGGGUGCGUAGGCGGCCUUUUAAGUCAGCGGUGAAAGUCUGUGGCUCAACCAUAGAAUUGCCGUUGAAACUGGGGGGCUUGAGUAUGUUUGAGGCAGGCGGAAUGCGUGGUGUAGCGGUGAAAUGCUUAGAUAUCACGCAGAACCCCGAUUGCGAAGGCAGCCUGCCAAGCCAUGACUGACGCUGAUG
rnacentral:rRNA from 1 species